GAAGGAUCAUUGCACACACAAAGUUGCAGCAAACCCCUUUGCGAAUUUCAUGAUUGUCCCCCCUUUUGGGGGGCUGGGACGGUUUCUUCGGGAACAAUCUCGGCCUCCCAAAACACCCGAGUGGUUCCGGCCGCUUGGGUGCUAUCCAACCGAUUGCACUCUGCAUCAACACCUCCAAUUCGACUGAGUAUAAAAACCGGGACUCUCUAUCUAGAAGGGGGUCCCCGAGUUGUAAUAAACAAAAACAACUCUCAGCAACGGAUAUCUUGGCUCUUGCAACGAUGAAGAACGCAGCGAAAUGCGAUACGUAGUGUGAAUUGCAGAAUUCCGCGAAUCAUCGAGUCUUUGAACGCAAGUUGCGCCCGAGGCUUGACCGAGGGCAUUUCUGCCAGAGCGUCACCGCGACACCCACCGAACCACUCCAAUCUUUGGAGUGUGUUCGAGUGAAAGUGGCCAUCCGAAUGGGGCCGCCGUCCCCUCGUGGGCCGGCCGGCAGAUUGGGUUGGCUGAAAUGGAGGAGGAUUUGGCCGCCGUGGUGACACAGCCCGCGAUCAGGUGAUCCAGGUGUUCAAAAACCCGGAACUCAAACGUGCGCGUCGGCUGUGGCACCCAGUUGGCCGGGACUCAAAAGCAGGUCCCUACCGACACUCCGGCCUAAAAAACCGGACGCUGGAGGCAGGAGAAAACUCGUCACGCAUCAGACCUCUGAUCAGAAAAGACUACCCGCUGAG
rnacentral:rRNA from 1 species